UCCCGCUGGCAGGCCUUUCGCCCCAAGGGUUCCCGCCGCUCGCCCUUGGACGGCCGCAGCACCUUCUGGACUCCAGAGCCGGCUGGGCCGGCCGUUGGACCGUGUCGGGCCCCCUCUCUGGCAGUAGCGGGUUUCUCCGCCCAGAAAUCACUUCCAGGCGCUUACCACUUGUGCCCGAGUGUUUGUACCGUCCAUGUCAACAGUGCUCUUGUCGCCCCAAAUUUCCCGAUUGCCCGCCCCCGCAUCCGUACUCCAGCCAUACUCACCAGGCCACUUGAUGGCCUUCUUGCCAGGGAGAUCUGUGCAUUGCGUGCGCCUGUGUGCUUGCUCCUCAUACACAAGCCGGCCAGGAACGAGCCAGAUGUUUAUGAAACCAGCGACCUACCUGAGGAUGAUCAAGCAGAGUUUGAUGCGUGUGUUCCUUGUGGCUUCUGUAUUUGCUGGCAUGUCAGUCUGCCGAUCCCUUUUCCCUCAAGCUUAAGUAUCUGGAGAUAAUGCAGAUGGUGUCAUUGUCGAAGUACCUGAGUGUGAAGCUGUCACUCCAAGAGGUGCCGAGGAGCUGAGCAGCACAAGUGUGGAACACAUCAUCGUCAACCCCAACGCUGCCUAUGACAAGUUCAAGGACAAGAGAGUAGGGACAAAGGGGCUUGAUUUCUCAGAUCGCAUUGGAAAGACCAAGAGGACAGGAUAUGAGUCUGGAGACUAUGAAA
rnacentral:lncRNA from 1 species